CUUAAUACUACAUCUUAAAUUUAAGUUAAUGAAAAAAUAUUUAAUAUGGUAUAAAAAUCAUAAAAAAUAAAUAAAUUAUGAAAAAACAAAAUUAAAAAUAUUUUAUUUUUUUUCUCUUCAUUAACAUUUUAUACCCAUAUUAAACAUUUAAACCCAACACAAACCCAACUCCAACCCUAUUCCCCUUAUCUCUCCUGCGCCCCCUCCCAUCUCACUAUCUCUCUCUCACAAUUUCAUCCCUCUCUCUCAGCCCUAGGUCCCGCCGCCACAGCCACUUUGCGCCAUCGUCGGAGCCCGGCAGCUCCAUCGCGGCGUGGGUGCCGCCGCUCUUCUCACACCCAACGCACACACCCAGAUCCGCACUCAAAUCAGCGGCGUGGGUGCCGCUGCUCGUCCUUCCCGGCAAAGCAACGGCGAUAAGCCGCUGACACGCCAGGCUCUCCCUUCUCUCUCUCGGCGGCAUAACCGCCUCAUCUCCUUUACCCCUCUGACUUAGAUCGGCGACGGUGAGAGCCUCCGCCGUCUGAGCCCUAGCCCCAAUCACGGCUCCCACAGAAUCCUCCGGCCGCCGCCACCGCUCGUUCUCCCCUUCAAAUCUUCAACCGACAGCAGCAGAGUCGCGGCCGCCGCCGUCCGUCUGCCUUGGUACAGCCUCAUCGGCGAUGCUGUCACUCAAGGGAAAGAGAGCAGCACAGAUCUGGUGGCCUUGGGGUGGUUGAAGUGGAGGAAGCCGCGCGGAGAGGUGGAGGUGCCGAGGUACUGCGAUAAGGCGCCGGAGACUACUAUUAUAAAAGGGUGUUAAAGCUCAUAUUUUCCUUUCAAACUCAGACGAAAAUCUGCAUCCUAAUCAUUCUUCUCCUGAUUUUCUUCUGCUGGUAGCUUUUGGUGUUAUAUUCUUGGCGAUUCAUCUUCUUUAUAGCUUUGAGAAAUCGCUUGUGUAGUUUGCCUGCUAGAUGUUCGACAGAAUGCUUGAUAGAGUGUUCUCUUUUCUUCAAUCCUUUUUUCUUAUUUUCUGCUGCAUUUUUUUUAAUACCAAGCUUACAAAGCUGUUCUUGUUAAUGCAGCGGCUACUAGAAGUGAUCGAGUCGCGGAUGGUGGAGCAAUCGGAGGAGAGACCGGAAUACAUGAAGGUGUCCUUGGAUAUGUUCUCGUUGAUCUCCUGCGUUAGAGGGACGUUCUUCACCAUAUUCUAGUUUGAUGAAUAAUAAGUUCAAAUGUUGGAUGAAAUUUGUGAUGUUGGAUUAAAUUUGUUUGAAUGUAAUAUUGGAUUAAUAAUGUUUGAAUGAAGAUUCAAAUGUUCGAUGAAAUUUGUGAUGUUGGAUGAAAUUUGUUUGAAUGUAAUAUUGGAUUAAUAAUGUUUGAAUGAAUGUAUGGAUUUUUAUUAUUAAUAUAUGCAUUUUUAGUUUUC